GACAGGGGGUGCAAGCGUUGCUCGGAAUCACUGGGCGUAAAGCGCGCGUAGGCGGUCUCGUAAGUCGGGUGUGAAAGCCCUCAGCCUAACUGAGGAACUGCGCCCGAUACUGCGAGGCUAGAGGAUGGGAGGGGAGAGUGGAAUUCCUGGUGGAGCGGUGAAAUGCGCAGAUAUCAGGAAGAACACCCGUGGCGAAAGCGGCUCUCUGGAACGGUACUGACGCUGAGACGCGAAAGCGUGGGGAGCGAACAGG
rnacentral:rRNA from 1 species